rnacentral:misc_RNA from 1 species
AAGCUGCCACUAGUUCCUCAAGUGGCAAAUGUAGUUGUGCCAACCGCUGUUUAUUUCUCUGAAAAGUACAACGAUGUUGUUCGUGGCACUACUGAGCAGGGAUAUAGAGUGUCCUCUUAUUUGCCUUUGUUGCCCACUGAGAAAAUUACUAAGGUGUUUGGAGAUGAGGCAUCAUAAUCUGCACUGGAUUUGGUUAUUUAUCUAUUGUGAGCUUUUU